GUUCUAAGUUAGUACAUGUAUGUGCUUGUGUAUUAGAAGUUAGUACAUGUAUGUGUUUGUGUAUUAGAAGUUAGUACAUGUAUGUGUCUGGGUGUUAGAUGUUGGUACAUGUAUGUGCAUGCCUUUAGAAGCAGUAAUUGCCAUGUCCCAGGGUUGGUGUCUGCCCACCGGUCUGUGCUACCAUGCAACUGGUUUUAUUAUUAGCUAUGUCGCUUUUAAGACGGUUUAAUCCUCAUCUUGAGCUGGUAGGCGCUUUGUUUAGGUUGUGUAGCUAUGGAAGUGUGAUUUACAGAGAUUUGUACGGGUCAUGGAAGUCUUUCCAGCCUAACAGUGUAUAUUUAGACAGGACUUUGCCUGGUGUUAAAAAGUGUAUAUUUUGAAUAGGUUCACACACAGUAGCAAACAAUGUCUACAUUGUAAAGGCAUGUACAGCCCUCCAUCCAGACUUCUUCUAAUCUGCUCUCAAUAAAGCUGCAAUAAUUAUCCUAAGCCGCCUUUCUACAAGAAAAAAAAAUCAUUCAGGAAUUCAAACUUUUUUUUAAAGGAUCUUUUCUG